UCAGAGGUAUAAAUUUAGAAUGGAAGACGAGACCCAAAUGGCUUCAGAGGUAGAAAUAUUGAAGGUAGAUACCAAGGAGAAAGACGAUCCUAUCAAGGCAACAAAUGGAGACUUGCCGCAAAUAGAAAAAGCAGGAAAGAAAGACGAGGAUGAGACUGACGGAGAAUUCAUAAAAGUAGAGAAGGAAUUGCUUGAUGUGAAGGAUGCCUCUCAUACAGCUAAGGCAGCGACUGCGGAUGACGAGAAGCCAUCAGCAAUAGAAAGGAGCUUAAGCAGUUCAACCAGAGAAUUAUUGGAAGCACAAGAGAAGGUGAAGGAACUGGAACUUGAAUUGGUAAGAGUAGUUGAAGCAUUAAAGCAUUCUGAAUCAGAAAAUACAAAAUUGAAAGAAGAGGUCUUGCUUGCAAAGGAGAACUUGGAGGUUGGUGAAAAGAAGUAUGAGGAGAUUGAACAGAAUCACAAGAAAUUGCAAGAUCAAUUAUUUGAAGCUGAGGAGAAAUAUAGUUCACAGCUUUGCACUUUGAACAAGGCUCUGCAGGCACAAGAAAUGAAGCACAAGGAAUUGACUGGGGUAAAAGAAGCAUUUGAUGGUCUUAGCAUUGAGGUUGAGAACUCUAGAAAGAGUUUGCAAGAGUUGGAGCAAAAGCUGCAACUUUCUGAAGGUGAGUUAAAGAGGUUUGUGCAACUCCUCAA
rnacentral:misc_RNA from 1 species